UACGUAGGGGGCGAGCGUUGUCCGGAUUUACUGGGCGUAAAGGGUGAGUAGGCGGUUAUAUAUGUCAGAUGUAAAAGGCUAUGGCUUAACCAUAGUUAGCAUUUGAAACUGUAUGACUUGAGUGCAGGAGAGGUAAGUGGAAUUCCUAGUGUAGCGGUGAAAUGCGUAGAUAUUAGGAGGAACACCAGUGGCGAAGGCGACUUACUGGACUGUAACUGACGCUGAGGCAUGAAAGUGUGGGGAGCAAACA
rnacentral:rRNA from 1 species